GCAAAAAUCACUAUAUUUUUAGUUGGAAACAAGGCAUUCUAGUCUGUCUUUUUUUUUUUUUGAAUCCUGUAAAUCCACUAAAACAGAAAAAGCUAGCCAUGCAUAGGCUAGUACUGUGAGUACAAAUUGGUUAAUGUCCCAUCUAUGGUACUAUCAUCAUCUCAAUUAGAAAGAAUAUCUUUCUAAACCCAGUAUAACAAGAUUUCUGUUUCUGUAUGAACAAUAACUACUAAAUAUACAUAUGUUAUAUUGCACUGUGAUGACAUUACCACCACCAUAGCUUUUCUUUUCGGGGCUUCUAGUGGAGUGGAGAGUUUAGACCCUCUUGAGAAGCUAGAGAAUGGAGAGUUUCGUGCCUCGUGGAAGCAGACGGCAUCUUCCUGAAGGAAGGCCUUUUUUCUAGUUUUUGCAAAGUUCUCUUUGAA
rnacentral:misc_RNA from 1 species